rnacentral:tRNA from 1 species
GCUGGCAUAACGGUUAAGUGCUAGGCUGCUAACCAAAAAGAUGGUGGUUCAAAUCCACCCAGCC